GCAUUAGUAGCUCAGCUUCAGAGCACCGAUCUUGUAAAUCGGAACGCAGGGGUUAGAAUCCCCUCUUUUGCU
rnacentral:tRNA from 1 species